rnacentral:lncRNA from 1 species
CCGACCCCCAUGGACGUCCUGCGACCACCAUCGGGAUCGAGCCGAUAGCAGGCAUGGAGAGGUUUCCUCCUUGCAACCUUUAUUCAAUGAUGUUGUUUGAAAAGAUGUGCAGUAGAUAUUCAUGCUCAUUUUGAACAAGUUCAUUGUUGUUGUCUGACAAAGUUGAAUUUUGUUGAAUGUUGUAUAUAUUUGUAUGUUUGUGUAUUAUUAUUUGUGUUAUCCCAUAUAAUUAUGUGUUGAUCUGUGGAUGUGUAGUUCGGAGAUGAUUAUAGAUGAUUAU